ensembl:lncRNA
GAAAUAUGGAUGUCAUCUUAGAUUGGUGCUGAAAUUAAAAACUUAGUAGAUUCAGACUCAAACUGAGACGCUGCAUCAGGAGAUCAGUUUAAUGUAUGCAGUCUUUGGUUGAGGAAAAGAGGGUGGGGGUUUGCACCCUGUCUGAGACCCUCUCAAUAAGCAGAAGGGGGCUUCUAAAGGGUGCGUCUACCCACCAAGAAGGGGUGAUGGGCAUUUUUUCAAAGAGGAGGGGAGGUUGCAAGGCCUCAGUUGAGCCUGUCGCGCCUGAUGUCCCAUUAGGAACCGGGAGCAUGGCUGGGGGAAACUGGUUAAACCCCCCCUGCCUCCCAGACUGUUAUUUAAAACAGGCGGUUGGCGGCAUACUAAUUCUCCUCCACACACUUAUGAAUCAAACCCAUAAAAUAAAGGAGGCACAGGAGACAUAUAUUACCAGAGCAAUUAAAUAAGUACUGCUUAUUGGGAAUGGGGUUUUACUGUUUCAGAGGUUGGAUACCAGCAUGGGUUUCAGCUUGGCGCCCUUGAAUAUAAUGAUCAACAUAACAAGGAGCUGAAUUUGUAUUCUUACACUUCAAAAAGACGUAAUAGCAAAAUUUCAUAUUUCAACCUGAUCAAGCACUAUAAUGUUGUUACGUUACUGUCUAAUUUAGUUUCUUUUGGGAAAAUACAUUUCUGAAUUUUUUUGGGAAAUGUUUGAAAAAACAGAUCCUUGGUGACAUGGUCCAGCACUUGUGCUAUGUAUGUGGAAGACUGCUAUUUUUUGAGAAAUGUGUCAAUGUGGCUACAACGGAGUGAGUGUUUGUGUCAGCUGGUUGUGGACGCACAGGUUUUGAAGCAGGACAGUCUGUUCAUUUUCUGAGACGUUUUGUCCUGUUGGUCUGCCUGCCUGAAGUUCGGUAUCAAUCCAGGAAAGACAGCAGAAGGCACAUUAAAAAUAAAUGGUAUCUGAUCACAGCCCUCCUGAAUGAAGAGAUCUGACCAUGUGACCAAGUGACCAGAACUGAGACUGGGAGCUAAAAUAAACUCUUGGACUAGAAACGGCAAGACUAUUUUAGCAUGAAACUGAAUAUAGUGCUAUCUAGUCAUCUGCAUUGCUUGUCCAUGGUCAGUUAAGAAAAUCCACUUACCAGAACACCUGUACACCUGCUCAUUCAUGCAAUUAUCUGAUGAGCCAAUUGUCAGGCAGCAGCACAAUGCAUAAAAUCAUGCAGAUACAGGACAACAUCAAACAUUAAGAAUGGAGGGAAAAUGUGAUCUCAGUUACUUUGACCAUGGUAUGGUUGUUGGUCCCAUAUGGGCUGGUUUGAGUAUUUCAGAAACUGGUGAUCUCCUGGGAAUUUCAUGUGCAAUCAUCUCUAGAGUUUACCAAGAAUUGUGCAAAUAUAUAUCCAGUUAGUGGCAGUUCUGUGGGCCAAAAUGCUUUGUUGAUCAGACAAGUAAAUACAUGGUUUGAGCUAACAGGAGGACUAUGGUAACUCAAAUAACCACUCUUUACAACCAUGAUGAGCAGAAAAGCAUCUCAGAAUGCACAACACCUAAAAGUGGGCUACAACAGCAGGAAUCUACAUUGGGUCCACUCCUGUCAGCCAAGAACAGGAAUCUGCUGCUACAAUGGCCACAGACUCUCCGAAACUGGACAACUAAAGACUGGAAAAAGACCAGCUGAUGUCAACAUUUUCUGAUGUUUGACAAGAACAUUAACUGAAGCUCCUGACCUGUAUCUGCAUGAAUUUAUGCAUCACACUGCUGCCAUAUAAUUGGCAAUUGGAUAAUUGCAUGAAUGAGCAGAUGUACAGGUGUUCCUAUUAAACUGGCUGCUGAUUGUAUAACAGUACAUUAUUCUAUAAAACUGAAUGAAGAAGAAUUUUAGCACUGCUGUAACAACAGUGCAUACCACUUGAUAAAUUAAUAAAGUAAAGAAAAUGAAGAUUAUAGUACCUUGUAUAGAUGAAAUUGUUGUUAGAUAAUACUUUAUUCUAUUUAAUGCUAUUUAAAAAGUUACUGUUUCUACACAUAUUGCCUCAACUCAUAGCUUCCGGUGGGCUCAUUGAUUAAUAAUUAUAAUAUUGAUAUUGUGAUAAAUUACAUCACAGUACAGUUUUCUCGAAAUAUUACAGGCUUCUUCAGGGGUUAUUACUCUGGCAAUAAUUGAAAAUACCACUGAAAGCGUAUUUUCUAAAUGCAGCAUUACUUUGCAUGUUAUGUAUCAUGAAAAGUUUCUUCAAGUAUUGCAAUAUGGCAUCUCUGUAAUAUCACCCACCCAUGAUAAUCAUAGAGAGUCCUAUCAAACCUUUAUGUCCACUCACUUUUGAAGUAGCCCCUGUGGCAAGAGGUGUUACAGCAAAGCCUUUAAUAAAUGUUUCAUGGAUAUUAAAGCGUGUAUCCUUUCAUACUCAAUAGACCUGAUAAGAGAUUCAGCCUCUUUUUAAGGUGGUUUUCCAUACAACUUUUCAGCCAUUACAAGUUUAAUUAAGAGUAAUUAAGUGCUGUACAAGCUUUAAUUAUAUUAGGCAUAAUGUUAUUAUAAACCUGUAGUGGACACGGCCUGUCUAGCGUGAGGCUCCCGGUGCGAACUGAAUGAUAAUGCGACACAUAACCAAGUGGCAUCCGUAGCAAUAGAGACACAGUCCUUGAGCAAAUAGGUCUAUGGGACUUGUGCACACAGGGGUGUAUGUGUGUAUGUGUGUGUACGCUGGGAGGGUAAACACCGAUGAUCUAUUUUCGUUUUUUUUAUUCCAUAGUCACAAAGCUAUAUUCUCAGCUCAUAAGACGGUAGUGGCAGACCGACGACAGUGGAAACCUCACAGCUCUCUGCCUCCCCUUACACACACACACACACACACACACACACACACACACACACACACACGCACACACACACACACACACACACACACACACACACACACACACACACACACACACUGCAGGCUAUGUUGACACACACAAACACAAGGACCCAUGGUUCCAACCCCAUUGUAGCCUACAUCGUGCCUGACAAAAACGGCAAAAGCUAAGCAAAGGCCAUAAACACAGCUGGAUUGUGUCCAGUGUAGCUCAUACAGUAUAUACAUCCAACUCUGGAUCAUUUGAGGUUUAACGAUCCAGACGCUUCCCAGAUAUAUUUACAUUUAUAUAUAUAACAAUGUAUAAAUGCAGCUUUCACACUUCUUAUUCCUAGCAGUGAAAAUCCAACGGAGCUGGUGAUCGUGCUGUGACCACUUGCACUUGCAUGCAAAUUGUGCUACGUUGGCAGACAGAUUGCACUGUCGAGAAUACUUCAUACAUGAGAAUAUGAGAAAAAUGAGGUUAAUAUGUAAUUAGAGGAAAGGGAAGUGAUGAAUCAGUAGCUCUGCUGUAUAUUUAGCAUGCAACAAAUGUAGAUUAGUAAUUAUGUAAGUAUAAUAAUAGAGAAAAAAAACUGAAGGAAUUGAAAACACAUCGACAAAUAAUAAUAAUAAUAAUAAUAAUAAUAAUAAUAAUAAUAGAUGUAGUAGUAGUAGUAAUAAUAAUAAUAAUAAUAAUAAUAUUAGUAGUUGUAGUAGUAGUAGUAGUAGUAGUAAUAAUAAUAAUAAUAAUAAUAAUAAUAAUAAUAUGUUGUUGUUGUUGUUGUUGAGGUUGCUGUUGUUGUACUAUAAAAUAAGCUCUGCCAAUAUCACCUUCCAAAUAAUAAAGUAAUUAAUUCAAAGUAAUAAAUAGCAUAAACCGGAAAGGGAGAAAAGAGACUGAAGGGAUUGAGUGGGUUUGGCAAGGAGGAGGCGAAACCCCAGAGGCGGGCGAGUGUCAGCCCCAGCUGGGCGGACAUUUUGUUGGCAUGCUGAUAGGGACUUAAGCGGUGGGUGGGUGGGUGGGUGUGUGCCAGGCGAGAGAAUGAGCUGAGGCAGAAGGGAAAGAGAGAGAGAGGGGCGCUCACAAAAGUGCCGUCACUAAGCUUGAUUUCAGCAGGAGGAGCUGAGACGAUUAGGGGGGACCGGGAAGAAACGAUGGGGUGAAAGACGGGGGAACGCUCCAUUGAGACGCUGCCAUGGCUGCGAGAGGGGGAUCUCUCUUUCAGACGAGCUAAUGAAGCAUAUGCUGAGGUGAAUAAUGGAAUCUUCCAAAGGGUGGGCCGCUGUCUUCGUCCGCUAUUCACCAACUUGGUGCCUUUGGAGAGACGUGUCGUGACAGAAAGAGGGCCCUCCUCUUAAAGGGAUAUCAUUGUUUACACAGCAGGGGAGGACGGCACGAAUAAAAGCGAUGCAGAGACAAAUCGAACGUAAAACAAACCAUAAAACCGCACGUCAACCGGCUCUUACAGAACUCAGAUUUCUCUCUCUCUCUGUAGUCCGUUGGAAGACUGCAGCUGAAAUUACAUAACCUUGUAGAGAAAAUACUGAGAAUAGCAUGCACUGAUACCACAGUCGACGAGGAUUAGCCAAGAAUUGUCCCAGAACAACAGGGACGGGUUCGGUGUGCGUCAUCGAUAAUCACUUACGAUUACACAAAUAAGAGCAAACACAUCAGGGGGUGCAACCAGACAUGUCAUAGGACGGAGCAGACAGGAGCCCCCUUUGACCUUGACCCCUAGGGUCCUUCUUCACCUGCUGUUCAAUGGGGCUUCAUGAGCAGCUGGGCUGUCUAGUCAGUGCCUGACAGAAUAUUUUACACUUUCGUCUAUUCCCACGCUUGAUGAGUAGGUCGUCGCUGCAGGCGGGACUGGUGUUUAUGCAGCUGACAGAGAGGCAGCAGCCAUUUUUAGAACACUGGGAUGCAAAUAUUCGCUCCUCAUCAAGUAGACAACUUCUCCCCCAGACUGCUUCUCUUGGCCUGGAUGUGAACAAAACCAGCCUCUGGCAAACAACUAGCUCUUUCUGUGCAUGUGUGUGUGUGUGUGUGUGUGUGUGUGUGUGUUUGUCUUUUUUUUGGCUGUGUAUCUGCACCCCUCUCCUCUCUGUAAAUGGACAGACCUGGGUUAGGCUAAGGCACUGUGUUGUAAAGAGAAUUGUGCCGAGAGGAGGGUUCGGAGUGUUUUCAUUAUGGCUAAAUCUCAGACCUGACUCUUCAGCGUGGCCUGUGCCACCAAGCCGACAGUUUAAUCAUACAAACAGCACUCUGUUCCCAUUUCCGCCUCUCUCCUUCACACACUCCACUCCCCGCUUCAUAAUUCUGCACUCUACAUGCUCCCGCGCAAUGCCUGUGUUUUGGGGGCUUUAAAAUGACACAAUCAGUGACUUGGAUAAAUGUAUGACUGUUUUCCCUCAGACUGUAACCAGCCCCAGUGAACACAGGUCCUGAUUUUUAAAGAGGCAGCACUGUGGGGUUUUUUUUUUUAAAUCCUCUUUCUCCUUGCAUACCACUGAAGCUCUUUUAUAAUGGAAAAACGUCCAGACAAUGGAUAGUUCAUCUUAGGCAGAACUGCAUUAAAUAUCUCCUAUUAAGUCCAUACUGUGGUUACAAACCACACAGGAAAUUACUUCAGGUCACAUAUUAGAAAUACACACAAGUCUAUUAAUAGAAAACUGAACAGAUGGAGUGGCAGGCUCUACAUGUUUCCAGACCCCAUGGUUCAUACACAUCAUAGUUAUUAUAGCUUUAGCAUUUUAGAAGUGUACUGUCACAAGUGAGUGAACAAACAACAACUGACUUUUUUCAUAAGAAACACCAUUUGGCACACCUGUCAAAUAAUCCGUUCAAAAAUGUAUGAUUCGUAUCAAUUCCACACACAGCACUGACACGCUUUACUCAUUCAGGUCUGUUUUAGACAUCUAGCACACAGCAGAUCAAAUCACUUGUCAUACCAGGUGCAUAAAAAAAGGAAAAAGCAAAUGCAGCAAGGGUCGAAUUGAGCAAUGGCAAUAAAUGCAUUCAGCAACUAUUACUUCUGUGGGUGAACUACAUUCAAUCAAUAUCCAAGCAAAUAAAAGCACUGAGCACUCAGAGCUAAGGAACCCCUUGCACUGAAACACUGCAAAACAUUAAAUAUACGUGCCUCACAUUAUACUGAAGGGACGCUGAACUCAUGGGGUAUUUCUGCAGUGCAGCAUGGCAUAAAAAACUGGAUUAAGAAUUCUCAAAACAGCAGAUUCAUGUUUUGGAAAUGAUCUAAUAUAGUAAAUCUACAUUAAACCAAAUAUGUGUGUCAAUACAUCCUUUAUUCAACUACAAUCACCAUGCACUUUAUUUGGAACACCUGUACAUCUGCUCAUUUAUGCAGUUAUUUAAUCAGCCAUUCAUGUGGCAGCAGCACAAUACAAAAAAAAUCAGGUCAAGAGCUUCAGUUAAUGUUCAAACAUCAAACAUCAGAAUGAAGGGAAAAACUCUGAUCUCUGUGAUUUUAACCAUGGUAUGGUUGUUAGUGCCAGAUGAGCUGGUUUGAGUAUUUCUUAAACUGCUGAUCUCCUGGGGUUUUCACGCAAAACACUGUGUACACAGAAUGGUGUGAAAAACAAAAAUACAGAGUGAGUGACACUUUGUUGUUAAGAGAGGUCGGGGAAAAAUGGCCAAAUUGGUUUGAGCUAUCAGGAAGGAUAAAGUAAUUUAUAUAAUCACUCUUUACAACCGUGGUGAGCAGAAAAUCAUCUCAGAAUGCACAAAACAUCAAACUUGAGGUAGAUGAGCUACAACAGCAGAAAACCACAUCGGGUUCCACUCCUAUCAGUCAAGAACAGCAAUCUGAGGCUAUCAUGAGCAGAUUCACCCAAACUGGACAGUUGAAGAUUAGAAAAAAAAUGACCUGGUCUAUUUCUACUCUUGAUUCUGAUAUUUGAUGUGAACAUGUGAUUGGCUGAUUAGAUAACUGUUCCUAAUAAAAUCGACAGUGAGUGCAUACUAGGGGUUCUCAGAAACUCCCUUCAUCUGUAAAAUAAAUUUCAGCACAGAUUUAUUUUAUAAUUCCAAUUAUUCAAAUAUUCAUCUCAUUAUUCAAAUGUGCACAGUCAUAUUCUGGCUAUUUAUUGGAACCCUAGAUUUUUUCUUUUUACAUAUAUUCCUGAACUUUCCACUGACAGAACACAUUAUGUCCAAGUUGACAUUAUUUAUCAUCUGAGUAAUUGAGGUGUGGAUUAAUUCAAUUCAUGUAACCAUUCAAACAGGGUAAUCACUUAAUCACUAUAACAACUCAAUAAGAAAUAUAAUGACUUUUGAUAAUGGUGGAUCCUGUAACAGAAUAAAAAAGCUCCGGCGAGGCUUCACAGACCCCAUUUAGAGACCACAACACAAUACUGAUCAAUACUUAUAUGCAAUAUAAGGGUACUUACUAUGCUUAUACUUAUUAUUGUGCAAUAUGGACAUUUAAAAUCCAGUGGCUAAUACAAAUAAUCUGAUUUUUAAGAUUUCCAGCUGCUAACAAACUUCCACACAGACCAGGGCUUUUAAAAAUCCUUCACCCUUUCCUAUUGAAAUUAUUUUGGAACUCACACAAAGUUUCUUUUUAUGCACCUGUGGACAGAAAAUGUCAAGGAUCUGUCUGAAUCUUGCUAAAAGUGCGGAAACCCCUUAUUUUCAGGCCUCCUGACACUCUGCCCCCUUUGGGCUUGCUAACAGAAUUUACCGUAUUUGCUUCGCUGCCUGGCUUUGUGUUGAAUUAUGCAUAAUUGCACUAGUGUACUUGCACACAUAGCUACGAGCAUGAUUAGCAUAAAAGCUCUCUGUUUUUUGUUUCUUUAUAAAGGACAGUGGGGGUGGGGGGAUUUUCAAGACAUAAAGAAUGGCAAGUGAUUUGUGGUAAAUGUGCGUAAUGUGCGUAAUGUGUGUGUGUGUGUGUGUGUGUGUCUGUUCACAUAAAGAGAGUAAGUGAUGUAAAGUAAUCGUUCUGUAACGGAUUAUGUACAGUAAAGAGCUAGAUUACAUUUUGUCAUUUAGCAGACGCUUUUAUCCAAAGAUUAAAAUAUAUUAAUAUAUAAACUUAAAUAUAAACUGAGAAAACAAAUACAAUGCACAUGUGAAUCAUUUCAGCAUACUAAACUCCUGUGGGAGAAUGUUUUCAAAAUAAAGAUGUAUUACAUUUUAUUUUUGUGAGGUGUCCAUUCUUAAUUUUAGUUAUGCAAGUUAGACAAAUAUAUAUAUAUAAAAAAAUUAUCAUAAGCCAGUUUAGUUUGUCUUUAAAACACUGUAGAAAAAGUUGCAAUUGUUUCCCUUUUAAAGCCUUGGGAAUAUUAUUAAAUAAGCUACAUCCUCACAAUAUUUUUUAAAAUAAUGUGACAUUGCGGCUUUUCUAGGUUAAUGUAUUUAUCAUCGCAAUUAAAGGGCAACUUUCUAACAUGUUUAAUUAUGUCAUUAAGACAUUGGCUGAAUUGAAAAUAACAUUACUAAUAAAAGCAUUAGAGGUUUGGUGUGUUCACACUAAAUAAAUCAAUAGAAAAUGAAAGGAAAAGAUAAUCUCAAGUAUAAAUGGUUAAUUUGUGGAAUCCAUGCCAUUCCAUAAUAAAAGAAAAUGUUAUCCAACUGCCAUAAAAAUGAUAUUAUUAAUGAAAAGUCAAACAUCAAUUUCACUGACGAGAAUUCUCAAUCAGGAGAGUGAGACUGCUCGAAAUGUAGGCGUUAAGGCUUAUAAAUGAUCUCUUCUGUACAGCAGUCCUGUGAAAACAGUCUCAGUAUGAAGUUAAUGCAGUAUCAAUGCGGAACCAGAAAGCGGAGGAACCACAAAAUGCAAGGUGAAAGAACAAAUAUUUUUAUAAAACUCCAUGCUUGUUCUUAUUAAAUAUCCUUUACUGUUAUUCCAACAGCAAUUCAAAACCAUUUAUCCUUGACUGAAAUGUUUCCACAAACUCAUAGUACAUAACUGCAACUCAUAAUUGUAGAUGCCAGUUGAUCUGCUUAAACUGCUAGGGAUCAUGUCCCUGAUUGCCCAAUCUGCAGAACAGUAAUACACAUGUAAAGCGCUGUAUUGUAUGGAGGAACACAAUGUUGCCCGGUGAGAGUGUGUGUGUGAAGGGCGAGCAUUGCUGGGUCCCACGAUGCAGCAGCGCACCAAGGCCUAUGGUGGCGACUGCUACGCAUGCUAAUGAGGUCAUUAUGUGGGGCUGUGUGGAGUUGGGCCCUGCGACAGAGGGAUUUGAGUAGCACCGGCUAGUUCGACUAGCCCAGGCACAGAUGUCACAGAUGGUACAGUCGUCAGGUGCUUUGUGACUGGAAAAGCCACGUUUCUCUCAUUUAAAGCAACAGAAUGCUAACGUGGCUUAACAUAAGGACGAAUAAAUUGUAAAAUAGUACAAAAGACAUGAGUGGCAGGUACAUGCUCCAAAGUGCUCAAAAGCUGCUCACAAAGAUUUGUGUGUGUGUGUGUGUGUGUGUGUGUGUGUGUGUGUGUAUGUAUGUGUGUGGCUCAGUACAGUAACAGUUGGGCGAAUAUGCGAAUACAAUUAUAGACGAUUUACAUGCGGGCACUGAUUAAGCAGAUGGCUGGUGUUCAGAGUGGCGCCAUCUUGGGUAAAGGGACAGCUGGCAGAUGGUGGCGGCCAUUUUGUCAGUGGCGCUGCCAAGCUCAGACACUGCCUGGCAUGUGUGUAGAUGCUAUGCUGGCAUUCUUGUGCGUAAUUUACUGUGGGGGUUUGUACCCAGUACACUAACAGCACUUUAUAUAAUAUGCUGAUUAUAGCUAGGUUACAAAUAAAAUUACCCAAACAUGACAAACGCAGAUGUUAAACAAAGGAAAGGACACUGUGCUCAGUGCUUUAUUGCGGUUUUUGUGUGAGUUUGAUGAUUUUGUGAACCCAAGGGGAAGCCUGGCUUUCUCCCACAGCUGCUCCUUGAUGAAAUAUAGCAAUUUAACUAAGCACACAGGCAGUGUAUCUGGAAUUUACACAUCAUUCUGUGCAGAAGAUACUGACUGAAUUGUAACCAAUGAUUAAAACAGAUGAAGAACAGGGGUGCGCUUACCAUUUCAGAGGAUUAGACUCCAUCAUCUCCUGGCAAACUUCAUUCCUUAAAGAAUCCAUGGGGACAUGGCACUACCUUUAGCAACAUACACACUCCAUUCACCUAUGUUCGUUGUGUCUCAUGGAAGGAAAUGGAGCUUUCCUUAUCAGCUCUGGAUCAGGGAAUGACUGAAAACAGUGUGUGACAAACACUGGGAAAGUUUAUUGAGUCAUUUUGGUCCUAGUUUGGAGCUCAGCUCCAACUUUGCACUCCGUCUGAAUGGCAUCUUAUUAAAACCUGGUACUGUGGAGGUCCAGAAGUAUUGAAGUAUGUAGAAAAGAGUGCCAAGCCUCUUCAUGUGGAUUAAAACCAAAGCCUUUUUAGAAGCUCUCAAACAGUGGCGAGGAUUUUGAAAAAAUCAUCUAAUUUAAUCUACAACAGAAAAGGCGAAAAAAUGUCGUCCAAAAAAGACAAAAGUUCAAGUUGUCCUCUCUUGCCAGCUCAUCUGAUGUAGAGGCUUGGAGGAGGGCCUGAAAGAGGGAUUGUACGUCAAGCCCUCAUUCAAACAGUCGAUGGGAAUGUGCACUCACAGUAAAAAAGGAAUCGAGGAGAGGGAAAAAGACCUUUGACACUCUUUUUCUGUUCAUUCUCCCGCAGACAAAGUUUUAUCAAGUGGUGUUGGGACUGAAGGUCCCUCCAGCAGAACCACACACACACAUACACACUCUUGCUCUCACACAUGGUCCGCCUUUGGCUGAUGCAAGUUGACUGGUAAAGGGAGAGAUGAGCGCUUGUGAUCCCUUGGCACCAUGGCCCGGGGCUGCGUCGCCCGACCCCUGGCAGCCUCUUCCCUCCGUAUUGAUUGCUCUGCUGAGGAGCCUGUGCCCGGUGGGUGCAACUGCCCGCCUCUGCUGCCCACUCCGUUGAAGCCUGGCCGGCCCCUGCUGUCUCCCCGAGACCCCGAGACACAGAGCCGGAGCCUCAUGAGGAGAGGAAGAAGAGAGGGAGGAGAGGAAGAAGAGAGCCGGCGGCGGUCCACAGCUGUGUUCACCUGCUCUCAGUUCAGUCCUCCAUCAUCCCAUAUUCCUACUCCCACUCUCGGCUCGUUCUCUGCCUCCUGCCAGCAAACAACAACAGAUAGGGGGGAACAAAAAAAAAAAAAACAAGUUCAGCUUAACUUUCAAUCUGAGUGUCAAUCCGUGACUUUGAUCAGAAAGAUGUGUAAGGUGGAUGUUUUGGCAUCUUCUCACAGUUUGUAAGGUGAACUUUCUGACCUCAGAUUUUUAACAUGCUGAAGUUGAAGAUUUUUUGAGUUUAGGAUGUCAGACUGAAAGAAACAGCCUGCCAAGUGCACUUACUGCCACUACCUCUGAUGUUUCUUUGCUUGCAGUAAAAAGAGUUUUGGCCAAAAAUAUUGUGUGUUGUAAAUAGAAUAUAAAAAGACUAUAUUUCUGAAACAAAUUCCUUCUUCUUUUAGGCUGUGCGCAAAAUUAUUUCAAUUAUUUCAGAGGCCUGCUAUCAUGCAAAUGAUUGAGAGGGAUAGUUUGAUAGACUUCAGGGUCAAUUAUGUGCUUAAAAGCAUUCCUCCCUCUCCUAGCAUAAAAAAAACCCCAGAAACUGGUAAAUUAAAAAUAAAAAAAGAUGAAAAAAAGAAGUAAAUAAUUUUGAUAAGUUGUAGCAAGUGGUUCGGUGUUGGGGGAAAAGGGGGCAGCGCAGCUCAGAUGGGCAUGGGGUGGAACUGGGGUUGUGUCUCAGACACAAUAAUACUAUUCAUUGGGCUCAGACGUGGGUGUUAACUCCCCUCUGGCUGCGCACAAUGGUGCUCGGCGGCAUUGAGACAGCCCCAGUGAUACUGUUAGUUCAGGGCUGCGGUCGGCCGGCUGCGUGAGAAAGAGCCAGCAUUGUGUCCAUGCGGCAGAAUGGAUGGAGGGAGGCUUGAGAGGUGAAAGGCAAAGAAAGAGAGAAGGCGGGGUGGGGGGUUGGGGGCAACACAGAGGGGGUUGGAGGGAAAUGAG